rnacentral:rRNA from 1 species
GACGAACGCUGGCGGCGUGCUUAACACAUGCAAGUCGAGCGGAGCGGCGAACGGGUGAGUAACGCGUGAGUAACUGCCCCCCUCUCUGGGAUAACAGUUGGAAACGGCUGCUAAUACCGGAUAGUGGGGGAUGACUCGCGUCCUAUCGGCUUGUGGGUCGGGUAGUGGCCUACCACGGCGACGACGGGUAGCCGGCCUGAGAGGGCGCCCGGCCACAUUGGGCUAAGAUACGGAGCAAACUCCUACUGGGGGCAGCAGGGGCGAAUAUUGCACAAUGGGGGAAACCCUAAUGCAACAACGCCGCGGGCGUGAUGACGGCCUUCGGGUUGUAAACCGCUUUCAGCCAUGACGCGUUAGUGGCAGAAGAAGCACCGGCUAACUACGGGCCAGCCGCCGCGGUAAUUC